rnacentral:rRNA from 1 species
AGAGCGAACGCUGGCGGCAGGCCUAAUACAUGCAAGUCGAACGGAUCCUUCGGGAUUAGUGGCGGACGGGUGAGUAACACGUGGGAACGUGCCCUUUGGUUCGGAACAACUCAGGGAAACUUGAGCUAAUACCGGAUGUGCCCUUCGGGGGAAAGAUUUAUCGCCAUUGGAGCGGCCCGCGUCUGAUUAGCUAGUUGGUGGGGUAAAGGCCUACCAAGGCUACGAUCAGUAGCUGGUCUGAGAGGAUGAUCAGCCACACUGGGACUGAGACACGGCCCAGACUCCUACGGGAGGCAGCAGUAGGGAAUCUUGCGCAAUGGGCGAAAGCCUGACGCAGCCAUGCCGCGUGAAUGAUGAAGGUCUUAGGAUUGUAAAAUUCUUUCAGUGGGGACGAUAAUGACGGUACCCACAGAAGAAGCCCCGGCUAACUACGUGCCAGCAGCCGC